CAAUAGCGUAUAUUAAAGUUGUUGCAGUUAGAACGCUCGUAGUCGGAUUUCGGGGCGGGCCGACCGGUCUGCCGAUGGGUACGCACUGGUCGGCGCGUCCUUCCUUCCGGAGACCGUGCCUACUCUUAACUGAGCGGGGGCGGGAGACGGAUCGUUUACUUUGAAAAAAUCAGAGUGUUUCAAGCAGGCAGCUCGCUCUUGCAUGGAUUAGCAUGGGAUAAUGAAAUAGGACUUUGGUGCUAUUUUGUUGGUUUCGAACACCGAAGUAAUGAUAAAUAGGGACAGUCAGGGGCACUCGUAUUCCGCCGAGAGAGGUGAAAUUCUCAGACCAGCGGAAGACGAACCACUGCGAAAGCAUUUGCCAGGGAUGUUUUCACUG
rnacentral:rRNA from 1 species